CUCCUUUCCUUCAAAGAACACCUCUGUAUAACAGAGACACUUUCUCGACCCAAAGUGUCCAUUGUAUAGAGGCUCCAUUGUAAUACAUGUACACACACUCUGUCUUUCUUCCUUUUAUAGAGAGAUGAUCCCAUCACUUGAAUUACUAGCCAACAUGAGCUAUCAAGCAAAAGUUGUAGAAAUAAUGACUGCUCAUGUUCAUGAUAUAAUUAAUGUGAGUGAAGAGGAGUUAAAA